GAUGAACGCUGGCGGCGUGCCUAAUACAUGCAAGUCGAGCGAACAGACGAGGAGCUUGCUCCUCUGACGUUAGCGGCGGACGGGUGAGUAACACGUGGAUAACCUACCUAUAAGACUGGGAUAACUUCGGGAAACCGGAGCUAAUACCGUAUAACAUGUUGAACCGCAUGGUUCAACAGUGAAAGACGGUCUUGCUGUCACGUAUAGAUGGUUCCGCGCCGCAUUAGCUAGUUGGUAAGGUAACGGCUUACCAAGGCAACGAUGCGUAGCCGACCUGUGAGGGUGAUCGGCCACACUGGAACUGAGACACGGUCCAGACUCCUACGGGAGGCAGCAGUAGGGAAUCUGCCGCAAUGGGCGAAAGCCUGACGGAGCAACGCCGCGUGAGUGAAGAAGGUCUUCGGAUCGUAAAACUCUGUUAUGAGGGGAGAACAAAUGUGUAAGUAACUAUGCACGUCUUGACGGUAACUAAUCAGAAAGCCACGGCUAACUACGUG
rnacentral:rRNA from 1 species